GGCGAACGGGUGAGUAGCACGUGGGCAACCUGUCCUCUCGUGGGGGAUAACACCGAGAAAUCGGUGCUAAUACCGCAUGUCAUCGCCGGAGGCAUCUUCGGCGAGAAAAGCAGCAAUGCGCGAGUGGGUGGGCCCGCGGCUAUCAUGCUUAUCGGUGGGGUAACGGCCUACCGAGGCUUUGACGGGUAGCUGGUCUGAGAGGACGACCAGCCACACGGGGACUGAGACACGGUCCCGACUCAUACGGGAGGCAGCAGUAAGGAAUCUUCCGCAAUGGGCGAAAGCCUGACGGAGCGACGCCGGUGUGGGGAUGAAGUCUCUCGGGACGUAAACCACUUGUCCGGAAGGGGAAGAAGAACGGACCGGUACCCCUCCAAGAAAGCCCCGGCUAACUACGUGCCAGCAGCCGCGG
rnacentral:rRNA from 1 species